rnacentral:lncRNA from 1 species
GUCAGUGACAUCAGUUUCAAAUUGUUGUUUCAUCCUAUCGUUUGUUAAGUUUAUACAACGGUUUUGUAGAAUGAUAUCUAAUUUGAAGACCUCGUGCUUUAGGCUUCGUUUUUAUACCACUUUCGCUGAAAUCAUCCUCAGUUUCCAAACGGUUAGUACGUCAUGUAAAUUGAUGUAAACAUUGUCAUUAUUCAUCAAUCAUCAAUGUGAACGACAGAUGUAUUUUGAUCAAAAUAUAUAAACGUGAAAGUUUAAAGUUUGAUGCUAAUAAAUUAGUCAGGAUUGACUCUGCAGCUGAAAACCUGGAAAUUUAAAGUAUGGGGUAAUUUAGCUAGGGUAAUUUCACUAAUUUGUUAAAAUUAAUUCGAGGAAGUAGCUAAUUAUGUCUAUAUAUACAGUUUAGAAAAGACACGUGUAUGGCCGACAGUGGAUCACAAAACCCAAAAGAUAUUUAUCAAAUGCUUUGUGUUCAUUGUCACACUUGUCUUGCGUGUAUAAUAUAUGUAAAUACGCUUGCUAAAGUCAGCUUUGUUUACGUAUAGUUUGAGUUGUCUUUUGUGAAGCGAUUCAUUUCUUGCUGGAACUAGGGACGGGUGUUCGUGUAUCAAGCUCUAUUACAGGAAGUUCUUCAAGGCAAUAUAAAUUAAUCACAGAAGAUCAAGAAUUCCAAGAAGAGUUAAAGAAUAUCAGGUUUCUUGAAAUUGAUCGGAAAAUGAGCACACCAGGUAUGACUAAUCAGCAAUAUUAUAUCACGCUUGUAUUUCUAUUUAAUCUGCCUGCAGCGAACUUAAACAGCAGAACUGUGUAGUUUAUAUUUGCGAAUUACUACAUCGUUCAAGCGGUUUGGAGGUUGU